rnacentral:rRNA from 1 species
UGAGGAAUAUUGGACAAUGGAGGCAACUCUGAUCCAGCCAUGCCGCGUGAAGGACUAAGGCCCUAUGGGCUGUAAACUUCUUUAGACGCAGAGCAAUAAGGGCCACGUGUGGUCCGAUGAGAGUAUGCGUAGAAUAAGCAUCGGCUAACUCCGUGCCAGCAGCCGCGGUAAUACGGGGGAUGCGAGCGUUAUCCGGAUUCAUUGGGUUUAAAGGGUGCGUAGGCGGCUUUGCAAGUCAGCGGUGAAAAGUCGGGGCUAAACCUUGAGGGUGCCGUUGAAACUGAUUUACUAGAAUGUGGAUGAUGCCGGCGGAAUGUGUCAAGUAGCGGUGAAAUGCAUAGAUAUGACACAGAAGGCCGACUGCGAAGGCAGCUGGCAAAGGCACGAUUGACGCUGAGGCACGAAAGUGCGGGGAUCGAACAGGAUUAGAUACCCUGGUAGU